UACGGAGGGUGCGAGCGUUGUCCGGAAUCACUGGGCGUAAAGGGCGCGUAGGCGGCAUGCCAAGCGUGUGGUGAAAGCCCGGGGCUCAACCCCGGGUCGGCCGUGCGGACUGGCGUGCUCGAGCACUGUAGGGGCGGGUGGAAUUCCGGGUGUAGCGGUGGAAUGCGUAGAGAUCCGGAAGAACACCGGUGGCGAAGGCGGCCCACUGGGCAGGAAGGCUCGCAAGAGCCGGCUGACGCUGAGGCGCGACAGCGUGGGGAGCAAACAGG
rnacentral:rRNA from 1 species